rnacentral:rRNA from 1 species
AAGGCAAUGGCGGCUGCUAUACAUGCAGUCGAGCGAAUGGAUUAAGAGCUUGCUCUUAUGAAGUUAGCGGCGGACGGGUGAGUAACACGUGGGUAACCUGCCCAUAAGACUGGGAUAACUCCGGGAAACCGGGGCUAAUACCGGAUAACAUUUUGAACCGCAUGGUUCGAAAUUGAAAGGCGGCUUCGGCUGUCACUUAUGGAUGGACCCGCGUCGCAUUAGCUAGUUGGUGAGGUAACGGCUCACCAAGGCAACGAUGCGUAGCCGACCUGAGAGGGUGAUCGGCCACACUGGGAC